rnacentral:rRNA from 1 species
GCCACAGCCAUAUCACCCUGUAGCCCAAGACUACUCGCCCACUGAAGCUAAGCAGGGUUGAGCCUGUUCAGUACCUGGAUGGGAGACCUCCUGGGAAAACUAGGUUGCUGAUGGAA